rnacentral:miRNA from 1 species
GUCGUCCUCUCCCUCCCUCCU